rnacentral:rRNA from 1 species
GAUGAACGCUGGCGGCGUGCCUAAUACAUGCAAGUCGAACGCGAGCACUUGUGCUCGAGUGGCGAACGGGUGAGUAAUACAUAAGUAACCUGCCCUAGACAGGGGGAUAACUAUUGGAAACGAUAGCUAAGACCGCAUAGGCCCACGACUCGGCAUCGGGUUGAGGGAAAAGGAGCAAUCCGCUUUGAGAUGGCCUCGCGUCCGAUUAGCUGGUUGGUGAGGUAACGGCCCACCAAGGCAACGAUCGGUAGCCGGACUGAGAGGUUGAACGGCCACAUUGGGACUGAGACACGGCCCAG